rnacentral:rRNA from 1 species
GAUGAACGCUGGCGGCGUGCCUAAUACAUGCAAGUCGAGCGAACAGACGAGGAGCUUGCUCCUCUGACGUUAGCGGCGGACGGGUGAGUAACACGUGGAUAACCUACCUAUAAGACUGGGAUAACUUCGGGAAACCGGAGCUAAUACUGGAUAAUAUAUUGAACCGCAUGGUUCAAUAGUGAAAGACGGUUUUGCUGUCACUUAUAGAUGGAUCCGCGCCGCAUUAGCUAGUUGGUAAGGUAACGGCUUACCAAGGCAACGAUGCGUAGCCGACCUGAGAGGGUGAUCGGCCACACUGGAACUGAGACACGGUCCAGACUCCUACGGGAGGCAGCAGUAGGGAAUCUUCCGCAAUGGGCGAAAGCCUGACGGAGCAACGCCGCGUGAGUGAUGAAGGUCUUCGGAUCGUAAAACUCUGUUAUUAGGGAAGAACAAAUGUGUAAGUAACUACGCACGUCUUGACGGUACCUAAUCAGAAAGCCACGGCUAACUACGUG